CGCUAUCACUCCUACGGGAGGCAGCAGUGGGGAAUAUUGCACAAUGGGGGAAACCCUGAUGCAGCCAUGCCGCGUGUGUGAAGAAGGCCUUCGGGUUGUAAAGCACUUUCAGUAGGGAGGAAGGUAGUGUAGUUAACACCUGCAUUAUUUGACGUUACCUACAGAAGAAGCACCGGCUAACUCCGUGCCAGCAGCCGCGGUAAUACGGAGGGUGCGAGCGUUAAUCGGAAUUACUGGGCGUAAAGCGCAUGCAGGCGGCCUGUUAAGUCAGAUGUGAAAGCCCGGGGCUUAACCUCGGAAUUGCAUUUGAAAACUGGCAGGCUAGAGUCUUGUAGAGGGGGUAGAAUUUCAGGUGUAGCGGUGAAAUGCGUAGAGAUCUGAAGGAAUACCAGUGGCGAAGGCGGCCCCCUGGACAAAGACUGACGCUCAGAUGCGAAAGCGUGGGGAGCAAACAGGAUUAGAUACCCUGGUAG
rnacentral:rRNA from 1 species